rnacentral:rRNA from 1 species
CCAGACUCCUACGGGAGGCAGCAGUGGGGAAUAUUGGGCAAUGGGCGCAAGCCUGACCCAGCAACGCCGCGUGAAGGAAGAAGGCUUUCGGGUUGUAAACUUCUUUUGUCAGGGACGAAGCAAGUGACGGUACCUGACGAAUAAGCCACGGCUAACUACGUGCCAGCAGCCGCGGUAAUACGGAGGAUGCGAGCGUUAUCCGGAUUUAUUGGGUUUAAAGGGUGCGUAGGCGGACUGUUAAGUCAGCGGUAAAAGCCCGGGGCUCAACCCCGGCGAGCCGUUGAAACUGGCUGUCUUGAGAUGUCGAGAGGUAUGCGGAAUGCGCAGUGUAGCGGUGAAAUGCUUAGAUAUUGCGCAGAACUCCGAUUGCGAAGGCAGCAUACCGGCGGCGAUCUGACGCUGAGGCACGAAAGCGUGGGUAUCGAACAGGAUUAGAUACCCUUGUA